rnacentral:rRNA from 1 species
GAUGAACGCUGGCGGCGUGCCUAAUACAUGCAAGUCGAGCGAACAGACGAGGAGCUUGCUCCUCUGACGUUAGCGGCGGACGGGUGAGUAACACGUGUAUAACCUACCUAUAAGACUGGGAUAACUUCGGGAAACCGGAGCUAAUACCGGAUAAGAUAUUGAACCGCGUGGGUGAAUAGUGAAAGACGGUGGUGCGGGCAGUUAUAGAUGGAUCCGCGCCGCAUUAGCUAGUUGGUAAGGUAACGGCUUACCAAGGCAACGAUGCGUAGCCGAACUGAGAGGGUGAUCGGCCACCCUGGAACUGAGCCACGGUCCAGACUCCUACGGGAGGCAGCAGUAGGGAAUCUUCCGCAAUGGGCGAAAGCCUGACGGAGCAACGCCGCGUGAGUGAUGAAGGUCUUCGGAUCGUAAAACUCUGUUAUUAGGGAAGAACAAAUGUGUACGUAACUAUGCACGUCUUGACGGUACCUAAUCAGAAAGCCCCGGCUAACUACGUG